rnacentral:sRNA from 1 species
CCUGGGACUUGCGUCCCAGGCUAUCACUUACCGUCACUUCGUGACU